rnacentral:rRNA from 1 species
UACGAAGGGGGCUAGCGUUGUUCGGAAUUACUGGGCGUAAAGCGCUCGCAGGCGGAUCGAUAAGUCAGGGGUGAAAUCCCGGGGCUCAACCUCGGAAUUGCCUUUGAUACUGUCAAUCUCGAGUCGGGAGAGGUGAGUGGAAUUCGCAGUGUAGAGGUGAAAUUCGUAGAUAUUAGAAGAACACCAGUGGCGAAGGCGGCUCACUGGCC